GUGAUUCUCCUCUCUAGAUGUUGGACAGGUGUUUCUCCUCUCUAGAUGUUGGACAGGUGAUUCUCCUCUCUAGAUGUUGGACAGGUGUUUCUCCUCUCUAGAUGUUGGACAGGUGUUUCUCUUCUCUAGAUGUUGGACAGGUGUUUCUCCUCUCUAGAUGUUGGACAUGUGAUUCUCCUCUCUAGAUGUUGGACAGGUGUUUCUCCUCUCUAGAUGUUGGACAGGUGAUUCUCCUCUCUAGAUGUUGGACAGGUGAAUCUCCUCUAUAGAUGUUGGACAGGUGAUUCUCCACUCUAGAUGUUGGACAGGUGGUUCUCCGCUCUAGAUGUUGGACAGGUGGUUCUCCUCUCUAGAUGUUGGACAGGUGAUUCUCCUCUCUAGAUGUUGGACAGGUGAUUCUCGUCUCUAGAUGUUGGACAGGUGGUUCUCCUCUCUAGAUGUUGGACAGGUAAUUCUCCUCUCUAGAUGUUGGACAGGUGAUUCUCGUCUCUAGAUGUUGGACAGGUGAUUCUCCUCUAGAUGUUGGACAGGUGAUUCUCCUCUCUAGAUGUUGGACAGGUGUUUCUCCUCUCUAGAUGUUGGACAGGUGAUUCUCCUCUCUAGAUGUUGGACAGGUGAUUCUCCUCUCUCUAGAUGUUGGACAGGUGUUUCUCCUCUCUAGAUGUUGGACAGUGAAUCUCCUCUCUAGAUGUUGGACAGGUGUUUCUCCUCUCUAGAUGUUGGACAGGUGUUUCUCCUCUCUAGAUGUUGGACAGGUGAUUCUCCUCUCUAGAUGUUGGACAGCUGAUUCUC
rnacentral:lncRNA from 1 species